rnacentral:tRNA from 1 species
GUGCCCAUAGCUCAGUUGGUUAGAGCGUCGGAUUGUGGUUCCGAAGGUCGCGGGUUCGAGCCCCGUUGGGCACC